rnacentral:rRNA from 1 species
GAUGAACGCUAGCGGCAGGCCUAAUACAUGCAAGUCGAACGGUGAUAGUGAUAUCAUAGUGGCGCACGGGUGCGUAACACGUAUGCAACCUACCUUAUACUUAGGGAUAGCCUUUGGAAACGGAGAUUAAUACCUAAUAGUACAUUUGACUGGCAUCGGUUAACUGUUAAAGAUUUAUUGGUAUAAGAUGGGCAUGCGUCCAAUUAGUUAGUUGGUGAGGUAAUGGCUCACCAAGACGAUGAUUGGUAGGGGAACUGAGAGGUUAAUCCCCCACACUGGCACUGAGAUACGGGCCAGACUCCUACGGGAGGCAGCAGUAGGGAAUAUUGGGCAAUGGAGGGAACUCUGACCCAGCCAUGCCGCGUGCAGGAUGAAGGCGUUAUGCGUUGUAAACUGCUUUUAUAUAGGAAGAAAUAGUCCUUGCGAGGAAAGUUGACGGUACUAUAUGAAUAAGCACCGGCUAACUCCGUGCCAGCCGCCGCAGUAAGAC